rnacentral:rRNA from 1 species
CUACGUGCCAGCAGCCGCGGUAAUACGUAGGUGGCAAGCGUUGUCCGGAAUUAUUGGGCGUAAAGCGCGCGCAGGCGGAUCAGAUAGUCUGUCUUAAAAGUUCGGGGCUUAACCCCGUGAUGGGAUGGAAACUGCUGAUCUAGAGUAUCGGAGAGGAAAGUGGAAUUCCUAGUGUAGCGGUGAAAUGCGUAGAUAUUAGGAAGAACUCCGAUUGCGAAGGCAGCUGACGGGAGCGCAACUGACGCUUAAGCUCGAAGGUGCGGGUAUCGAACAGGAUUAGAUACCCUGGUAGUCCGCACAGUAAACGAUGGAUGCCCGCUGUUGGUACCUGGUAUCAGCGGCUAAGCGAAAGCAUUAAGCAUCCCACCUGGGGAGUACGCCGGCAACGGUGAAACUCAAAGGAAUUGACGGGGACCCGCACAAGCAGUGGAGCAUGUGGUUUAAUUCGAAGCAACGCGAAGAACCUUACCAAAUCUUGACAUCC